GACGAACCGUCCUAACGUUGUUCGGAAUCACUGGGCUUAAAGGGCGCGUAGGCGGCUUGCCAAGUCAGGGGUGAAAUCCUGCAGCUUAACUGUAGAAGGGCCUUUGAGACUGGCGAGCUCGAGGGAGGUAGGGGUAUGUGGAACUUCCGGUGGAGCGGUGAAAUGCGUUGAUAUCGGAAGGAACGCCGGUGGCGAAAGCGACGUACUGGACCUCUUCUGACGCUGAGGCGCGAAAGCUAGGGGAGCAAACGGG
rnacentral:rRNA from 1 species